rnacentral:rRNA from 1 species
GAUGAACGCUGGCGGCGUGCCUAAUACAUGCAAGUCGAGCGAAUGGAUUAAGAGCUUGCUCUUAUGAAGUUAGCGGCGGACGGGUGAGUAACACGUGGGUAACCUGCCCAUAAGACUGGGAUAACUCCGGGAAACCGGGGCUAAUACAGGAUAACAUUUUGAACCGCAUGGUUCGAAAUUGAAAGGCGGCUUCGGCUGUCACUACUGGAUGGACCCGCGUCGCAUUAGCUAGUUGGUGAGGUAACGGCUAACCAAGGCAACGAUGCGUAGCCGACCUGAGAGGGUGAUCGGCCACACUGGGACUGAGACACGGCCCAGACUCCUACGGGAGGCAGCAGUAGGGAAUCUUCCGCAAUGGACGAAAGUCUGACGGAGCAACGCCGCGUGAGUGAUGAAGGCUUUCGGGUCGUAAAACUCUGUUGUUAGGGAAGAACAAGUGCUAGAUGAAUAAGCUGGCACCUUGACGGUACCUAACCAGAAAGCCACGGCUAACUACGUGCCAGCAGCCGCCGUAA